AUCAGGAUCCAACAAUGGGAAAAACAUAGUAUUUGUAGUUCCACUAUAGGAGAAGCUUUCUACUGAACCACUUUCCUAUGAUUCAGUAGAGUUCGCCAAGAUGCCACAGUCAAAAUGCAUUACAUGUGGCAGUCAAAUGCCUUUGCAGCUGUUGCCGUUGCAUGUGGAGGAAUGCAAUGGCAUAUUGACUGUAAGCUGUAUUACAACAUGUCUCUCAUUUCUCUUUUUUAGUUUGUUCAAAUGACUGUUUAAAAGUAUUAAGUGUUUGUUUAUUAUAUAUAUAUAUAUAUAUAUAUAUAUAUAUAUAUAUAUAUAUUUAUAUAUAUAUAUAUUUUAUUUUAUUUUAUUUAUUUAGGAGAGUGAAUCUGGGACAUGUCUUGAUGAAGAUUGUUCAGUUCUUGAGCAGCCAGUCCCAUCUACCAUAGGCAUGGAUGAAUCCUUGGCGGUCUGCCCAAUCUGUCUUGCAUCGUACCCAGCUGAUGUUCUCCCAUCUCAUGCAAGCACAUGUGGUGACAGAAUGAACUGUGCUCAACCCAGCAUAGCAGCCAGUACCCCAAGGGGAGAAGAAUUGCCAGGACUCUCAGUUCCACAAUCGUCAGUUCGACAAUCGUCAGCAGCUUCAACGUGGACCACUGAAGUCGACCCCCAAAAAGCAUGCCAGUUGUUCAGAGAAGAUUUACUCAACAGUUACUCUGAAAGUCCACGCCUCUCUCUAUCACUCGACAUGUUUGAUGCAGAAGAAGAACGGGACAGUGCAUUCAUUUCAUUCUAUAAGCAGAAUAAUGUGAACUGAGUGUGUGUGUCAUCUAUGUUUUCAUGUUAAAACUUUUUUAAUUGCAGUACUUUUUGUAGCCUAUUCAUUGGACACUAAUGUCAUCAAAUGAGGGAAUAGUAUUGACAUGUAAACUCUACUUUAAAUAAAUGAUAUGUUCUAACUUAAUCUAAAUGAACCUCCAAAGACAGAUUUGGGUCUAACUGUGAUCAAGCGUGUUUUAAAACAUAAUGCUCAAUGUUUCUUGACUUUUUUUUUUUUUUAUUAAGGCUCUGCUGCUCCUACAACCCUUUUUGAGGGGGAAAAAGAACAUCGGGUUCCCUCUGCAGCUGCUGUCCUGCGAGAAAGCAACCUAUUUGAGAUGGCAGGUCGUAUGAUUGGUCAUUCUUUCCUGCAUGUUGGGUUCAGCUUCUCUGGACUCAAUUUGCCUGUGGUGACCCUAUUGACUGGUGAGUGCAUCGACACUGCAGCAUCAGCUAUGACACUGGAGGACUGUCCUGAUAUUGACCAUCGUGAAACAAUUGGUUUGCUGAAGAAUGCUGAACUUACUGCAGAAGAAAACACCAAAGUGACUGAUCUUUGCCUGUCCUGGGAUCUUCCAUUUCCAUCCUCCACCAAUCGUCUCUGGCUGUUCCAGGAACUGCUUUCACAUGCAGUACUUCACCGUGUUAAACAGCCAAUUAAACAAAUACGGAAAGGCCUUAAACAAACAGGAAUCUGGCCACUUCUUUCAGAUAGGCCAGAUGUACACCCCUUAAUUUUCCCAAGGGAGUGAGGAGCUUAA